rnacentral:rRNA from 1 species
GUGGGGAAUAUUGCACAAUGGGCGAAAGCCUGAUGCAGCGACGCCGCGUGAGCGAUGAAGUAUUUCGGUACGUAAAGCUCUAUCAGCAGGGAAGAUAAUGACGGUACCUGACUAAGAAGCACCGGCUAAAUACGUGCCAGCAGCCGCGGUAAUACGUAUGGUGCAAGCGUUAUCCGGAUUUACUGGGUGUAAAGGGAGCGUAGGCGGCGUGGUAAGUCAGAAGUGAAAGCCCGGGGCUCAACCCCGGGACUGCUUUUGAAACUAUCAUGCUGGAGUGUCGGAGAGGUAAGUGGAAUUCCUAGUGUAGCGGUGAAAUGCGUAGAUAUUAGGAGGAACACCAGUGGCGAAGGCGGCUUACUGGACGAUAACUGACGCUGAGGCUCGAAAGCGUGGGGAGCAAACAGGAUUAGAAACCCGAGUAGUCC